CAGUAGCCGCGGGAAUACGUAGGUGGCAAGCGUUGUCCGGAAUCAUUGGGUUUAAAGGGUCCGUAGGCGGUUUAGUAAGUCAGUGGUGAAAGCCCAUCGCUCAACGGUGGAACGGCCAUUGAUACUGCUGAACUUGAAUUAUUAGGAAGUAACUAGAAUAUGUAGUGUAGCGGUGGAAUGCUUAGAGAUUACAUGGAAUACCAAUUGCGAAGGCAGGUUACUACUAAUUGAUUGACGCUGAUGGACGAAAGCGUGGGGAGCGAACAGGAUUAGAUACCCCUGUAGUCCCUGUCUCUUAUAC
rnacentral:rRNA from 1 species